CUUUGUGGCUGGCAGCAGAAACUGCAGCAAUAUCUUUGCAGUUUCCUUUCAUCUUUGAUUAUGUUCCAAGGAUCUCUGAAAUACAGGAGCGCUUUCCCUGACCCUCUGGAAUGCCUUUUCAUCUCUGUUGCGGAAUAUAGCACAUGCUGAAAGCCUUCUGUCUCCUAGAGUUUAGGUAUCCUUUGCUUUUCGUCACCCUCUGAUUUUUGUUGUUCUUUGGCUGGAUUUUUGGCAGCGCAUGGCUUAGGCAAAUAGGAUUACAUCUCAGUAGCUGAUGGUUUUUAGUCGAGGAACAUACUAAAUGUCGGACAUAAUGAAGAUUGUACGAGGAAGUAUUUCUGCAAACCACAGGAAAAUGAUUCGAGUCGAGCAAAGGAAGAUGGCAUUCUGUAAAUGCAAUCAGGGCUGCUAGAAAUGCAAAAUUCAACGGAUUUGGAAUGGGUUGCACUACAAGCGUGGUUCUGUUUAAAGGCAUUCGUACAGUUUUUGAGAGAAACUGUGGUUAUAUUUGCAAACAGCAAGGGGAAAACAAUGCCCUUGAAUACACAGCAUUCAGCCUGCCAAAUGAAGAUUCAGGAAUAUUGAUUCAUUCAUCCCUGGCAAAACCAAAGCUCAUAGAACCAAUAGACUAUGAAAAUGUGAUCGUUCAGAGGAAGACACAGAUUUUGAAUGAUGGCUUACGUGAGAUGCUACUGUUCCCUUAUGAUGACUUUCAGACAGCCUUAUUGAAACGGCAGAGUCGAUAUGUUCAUUCAACGGUUCCUGAAAAUGCGGAGAAGGAAGCUCAGAGCUUGUUUGUAACUGAGUGCAUCAAAACCUACAAUUCAGACUGGCAUGUUGUUAACUACAGAUAUGAAGAUUACUCAGGAGAGUUUCGACAGCUUCCAAGUAAAGGGCCAAAAUCGGAGAAGCUUCCAGUUCAUUUAUAUGAAGUAGAUGAAGAAGCAGAUAAAGAUGAGGAUGCAGCAUCUCUUGGGUCUCAGAAGGGUGGAAUAACAAAACAAGGAUGGCUGUACAAAGGCAACAUGAAUAGUGCAAUCAGUGUGACAAUGAGAUCAUUUAAAAGAAGAUUUUUCCACUUAAUCCAACUUGGUGAUGGAUCCUAUAAUCUCAAUUUCUAUAAAGAUGAAAAAAUAUCAAAAGAACCUAAAGGAUCAAUAUUUUUAGAUUCCUGUAUGGGAGUGGUUCAGAACAAUAGAGUCAGACGUUUUGCAUUUGAGCUGAAGAUGCAAGACAAGAGUAGUUACCUUUUAGCUGCAGAUAGUGAACUUGAAAUGGAAGAAUGGAUAAACACUCUGAACAAAAUCCUCCAGCUUAACUUUGAGGCUGCAAUGCAAGAAAAGAGAAAUGGAGAGUCUCAUGAAGAUGAUGAACAAAGCAGAAGUGAAAGCUUAUCAAGUAGUUUUGAUAACUACUAUCCUGAAAUUGCCAAGAGUACCCGAGAAGCAGAGAUCAAGUUGAAAAGUGAAAGCAGAGUUAAACUUUUUGCUUUGGAUCCAGAUGCACAGAAACUUGACUUUUCUAGUAUUGAACCAGAUGUGAAGCCAUUUGAAGAGAAAUUUGGAAAAAAAAUUCUUGUGAAGUGUAACGAUUUAUCUUUUAAUUUGCAAUGCUGUGUUGCAGAAAAUGAAGAAGGACCAACAACAAAUGUAGAACCUUUCUUUGUUACAUUAUCACUGUUUGAUAUAAAAAACAACCGGAAGAUUUCAGCAGAUUUCCAUGUUGAUUUGAACCACACCUCAGUAAGGCACAUGCUGUCCAGUGCACCUCAGCAAAUGAUGAACGGCAGUGGUGAUACCUUACACAGAAUUCAAGAUCUUCAUGAAACUCUGUUACAAUACCCAAAGCAGGGAAUAUUCUCAGUCACAUGUCCUCAUACAGACAUAUUCCUUGUGGCUAGGAUAGAGAAAGUAUUACAGGGAAGUAUUACACACUGUGCUGAACCAUAUAUGAAAAGCUCAGAUUCUUCAAAGACCGCACAGAAAGUUUUGAAGAAUGCUAAGCAGGCGUGCCAGAGGCUAGGUCAAUACAGAAUGCCUUUUGCCUGGGCAGCGAGGACACUGUUUAAGGAUGCUUCAGGAACCCUGGACAAAAAUGCAAGAUUUUCUCCUCUUUUCAGACAAGACAGUAAUAAACUUUCAAAUGAAGACAUGCUGAAACUGUUAGCAGAUUUCAGGAAACCUGAAAAGAUGGCCAAACUUCCUGUUAUUUUAGGAAAUCUGGAUGUUACGAUUGAUAAUGUGUCACCAGAUUUUCCAAAUUAUGUUAACUCCUCAUACAUUCCCAUGAAACAGUUUGAAAACAGUACCAAGACAUCAGUAGCAUUUGAAAUAGAGGAAUUUGUCCCCUGUAUACCAAGACAUACACAGCCUUUCACCAUCUACAACAAUCAUCUUUACGUUUAUCCAAAGUACUUGAAAUAUGACGGUCAAAAGUCUUUUGCGAAGGCUAGAAAUAUUGCAGUAUGCAUUGAGUUCAAGGACUCUGAUGAAGAGGAUUCUUUGCCUUUAAAGUGUAUCUAUGGCAGGCCAGGUGGACCAGUAUUUACUAGAAGUGCAUUUGCUGCUGUUCUGCAUCACCAUCAAAAUCCAGAGUUUUAUGAUGAGAUUAAAAUAGAAUUGCCCACUCAGUUACAUGAAAAGCACCAUUUGUUGUUCACCUUCUACCAUGUCAGCUGUGAUAGCUCAAGCAAAGGGAGUACAAAGAAGAAAGAUGUUGUUGAAACACAAGUUGGGUAUUCUUGGCUUCCUCUAAUAAAAGAUGGAAGAGUGGUGACCAACGAGCAACAGAUCCCAGUGUCAGCAAAUCUUCCAUCAGGCUAUCUUAGUUAUCAAGAAGUGGUGACUGGAAAGCAUUCUGGUCCUGAAAUUAAAUGGGUAGAUGGAGGCAAACAACUACUAAAAAUAUCCACUCAUCUGGUGUCAACUGUGUAUACGCAGGACCAGCACUUGCAUAAUUUUUUUGAGUACUGUCAGAAAACAGAGUCUGGAGCUCGUGCGCUAGGAACUGAUCUUGUAAAAUAUCUUAAGAGCCUUCAUGCUAUGGAGGGCCAUGUGAUGAUAGCUUUCCUGCCAACUGUCCUAAACCAGUUGUUCAGAGUUCUCACUAGAGCUACUCAAGAGGAAGUUGCAGUCAAUGUGACGAGGGUUAUUAUCCAUAUUGUUGCUCAGUGUCAUGAAGAAGGCUUGGAUAGCUACCUGAGGUCUUAUGUCAAGUAUGCAUAUAAAGCUGAACCUUAUGUUGCUUCUGAAUAUAAGACGGUACAUGAAGAAUUGACAAAGUCCAUGACAACAAUUUUAAAGCCAUCUGCUGAUUUUCUCACAAGCAACAAGCUCUUGAAGUAUUCAUGGUUUUUCUUUGAAGUUCUGAUAAAAUCCAUGGCUCAGCAUUUGAUAGAAAACUCUAAAGUGAAGCUGUUGCGAAACCAGAGAUUUUCUGCUUCCUUUCAUCAUGCAGUUGAAACAGUUGUUAAUAUGCUAAUGCCACACAUCACUCAGAAGUACAGAGACAAUCCAGAGGCUUCAAAAAAUGCAAACCAUAGCCUUGCUGCCUUUAUAAAAAGGUGCUUUACUUUUAUGGACAGAGGCUUUGUUUUCAAGCAAAUCAAUAACUACAUCAGCUGCUUUGCACCGGGAGAUCCAAAGACUCUCUUUGAAUUCAAAUUUGAAUUUCUCCGUGUAGUCUGUAAUCAUGAGCACUACAUUCCUUUGAAUCUACCAAUGUCAUUUGGAAAAGGCAGAGUUCAGAGAUACCAAGACCUUCAGUUGGACUAUUCGUUAACCGAUGAGUUCUGUAAAAAUCACUUCUUAGUGGGAUUGCUUCUAAGGGAGGUGGGCAAUGCCUUACAAGAGUUCAGAGACGUGCGGCAGAUUGCUAUUACUGUGCUCAAGAAUUUGAUGAUAAAGCAUUCUUUUGAUGAUAGAUAUGUUUCCAAGGCCCAUCAAGCAAGAAUAGCCACUAUGUAUUUGCCACUCUUUGGACUGCUCAUAGAAAACGUUCAGCGAAUCAAUGUUAAAGAAGUGUCUCCAUUUCCUGUUAACCUUUCCAGCAAUAAUGCAAAGGAUGAUGCACUUAAUUUGCCAACUGCAAGUCAACUAGUCACACCACAAAAAUCAGGAAACACAUUGGAUAACAAUCUCCCUAAAGAUCUGUUUGGUGUUAUCUCUGGCAUUGCUUCCCCAUACACCACAUCAACUCCAAAUAUCAAUAGCGUGAGGAAUGCUGACUCAAGAGGCUCUCUUAUAAGUACAGACUCAGGAAACAGUCUCACAGAAAGACACAUUGAGAAGAGCAAUUCUCUCGACAAGAGAGAGAAGCUUCUCAGAAGGCACUCUGCUCAUGCUAUGCGCACUAAUGGAGAAGAAGAAGAAAAUUCUCACCCCGUAAAGAAAAACCGUGUCACUAUGGAUUUUUCACUUCUGACAAUACCGGCUUUGCCAGAGAAAAUUUUGCACGCUGCUUUCUCUCUUCAGUUACAAGAAAACCAACAGGGCAGCACUUUAGGAAGUUCUGUAGUUCGAUACGACAAACUUGACCAAGCAGAGAUCAAAAGUCUGCUCAUGUGUUUCCUUUAUAUUUUGAGAAGUAUGUCGGAUGAUGUAUUGCUUACAUAUUGGAACAAGGCUACAAAAUCUGAACUCAUGGAUUUUUUCACAAUUACAGAAGUGUGCUUACAUCAGUUCCAGUACAUGGGAAAACGAUACAUAGCAAGGAACCAGGAGGGGUUAGGAUCCAUAGUUCAUGAUCGAAAAUCUCAGACAUUGCCUGUUUCCCGUAACAGAACAGGAAUGAUGCAUGCCAGAUUACAGCAGCUGAGCAGCCUGGAUAACUCUCUCACUUUUAACCACAGCUAUGGCCAUUCAGACGCAGAUGUUCUUCACCAGUCUUUACUUGAAGCAAAUAUUGCCACUGAAGUUUGCCUUAUUAUUCUGGAUACUCUAUCAUUAUUCACAGUAGCUUUUAAGAAUCAACUACUGACUGAUCAUGGGCAUAAUCCACUGAUGAAGAAAGUGUUUGAUGUAUAUGUCUGCUUCCUUCAAAAGAAUCAGUCUGAAACAGCAUUGAAAAAUGUCUUCGUUGCUCUAAAGACACUUAUUUAUAAGUUUCCUUCUACAUUUUAUGAAGGUAGAGCUGAUAUGUGUUCUGCACUGUGCUAUGAAAUCCUGAAGUACUGUAAUUCUAAACUGAGCUCAAUUCGUACUGAAGCUUCACAGUUACUGUACUCCUUAAUGAGAACUAACUUUGAUUACACAGGGAAGAAGUCUUUUGUCAGGACACAUCUGCAAGUUAUUAUUUCAGUGAGCCAGUUAAUUGCUGAUGUUGUUGGAAUUGGAGGAACUAGAUUUCAGCAGUCUCUUUCCAUCAUCAAUAAUUGUGCCAAUAGUGACAAAAUGAUAAAGCACACUACAUUUCCUUCUGAUGUGAAGGAUUUAACAAAACGGAUUCGUACAGUACUGAUGGCUACAGCUCAGAUGAAAGAGCAUGAGAAUGAUCCAGAAAUGCUUGUAGACCUCCAGUACAGUUUGGCAAAGUCUUACGCGAGUACACCUGAGCUGAGGAAGACGUGGUUAGACAGCAUGGCAAGGAUCCAUGUUAAAAACGGAGAUCUUUCUGAGGCAGCAAUGUGCUAUGUCCAUGUAGCAGCACUGGUUGCAGAAUAUCUCACACGAAAAGGGAUGUUCAGGCAAGGUUGUACUGCUUUCAGAGUAAUCACACCUAAUAUAGAUGAAGAGGCUUCAAUGAUGGAGGAUGUUGGAAUGCAGGAUGUUCACUUCAAUGAAGAUGUGCUGAUGGAAUUGUUGGAGCAGUGUGCUGAUGGACUCUGGAAGGCUGAACGUUAUGAACUCAUUGCUGACAUAUAUAAACUUAUAAUUCCCAUUUAUGAAAAACGGCGAGAUUUUGAGAGGCUUGCUCAUUUGUAUGACACUCUUCAUCGAGCAUACAGUAAAGUAACAGAAGUUAUGCAUACAGGCAAAAGACUGCUGGGAACUUAUUUCAGGGUAGCGUUCUUUGGGCAGGGUUUCUUUGAGGAUGAAGAUGGGAAGGAGUAUAUCUAUAAAGAACCUAAACUAACGCCUCUCUCAGAAAUUUCCCAAAGACUUCAAAAACUCUACUCUGACAAAUUUGGAUCUGAAAACGUCAAAAUGAUUCAGGAUUCUGGCAGAGUAAAUCCUAAGGAUUUAGAUUCAAAAUAUGCAUAUAUUCAAGUUACACAUGUAGUCCCAUACUUUGAAGAAAAAGAGUUGCAAGAAAGAAAGACAGAUUUUGAAAGGACUCAUAACAUUCGUCGCUUUAUGUUUGAGAUGCCUUUUACUCAAGCUGGUAAGAGACAAGGAGGAGUAGAAGAACAGUGUAAGCGACGGACAAUUUUGACAGCUAUACAUUGUUUCCCAUAUGUGAAAAAGCGCAUUCCAGUAAUGUACCAGCAUCACACCGAUUUAAACCCAAUUGAAGUAGCCAUCGAUGAAAUGAGUAAAAAGGUUGCAGAACUUAGGCAGCUUUGCUCUUCAGCUGAAGUAGAUAUGAUCAAAUUGCAGCUGAAGCUACAAGGAAGUGUCAGUGUUCAGGUUAAUGCUGGUCCAUUAGCAUACGCAAGAGCUUUCUUAGAUGACACAAACACCAAAAGAUAUCCAGACAAUAAAGUAAAGUUACUAAAGGAAGUUUUUAGGCAAUUUGUUGAAGCUUGUGGGCAUGCUCUGGGUGUAAAUGAACGACUUAUAAAGGAAGAUCAGUUGGAAUAUCAAGAGGAAAUGAAGGCUAACUACAGAGAAAUGGCAAAAGAGCUUUCUGAAAUAAUGCAUGAGCAAAUGCUUUCGUGAACUUCAUAACUGUGUCUUCCUCAUUAAGAAAGUAAAUCUGGUUGGCACCAGCCUGUUGUUUUUUGUAGGAGAGGAAGACUACGGUAAAGAUGAAACAAAUGUAAUGACAUUAACUAUGUCAUUUAUACUUCAUAUAUGUGCUUACAGGGGUCUCUGUUUAUUCAGUGACUGAAAAAGUACAUUUUAGUCCAUACUUUCUGGUAACUGUAGGAGUAUUUGGUCUACAAGCUUAAUGCUUUUUCUUUAGAUUUUGGAGGUAUAGACAUUUAGUUUUGCAACAGAGAGUUAAACGUCUUUCAGGAGGUAUUCCAACAUGUUUUCUUGAGGGGAAUCCACUACAGGCAAGCUGGAGGUAUGGGAGAAUCAAAACCAGAAGUCUUGUGGAGUAAGAUGUAGGACCUUGCAUCUGGGGUCUCUGGUAGAAAUGUCUCCCGACUUCAUAGGCAAGGGUAUUAUUUCCAGGAAGACACGGAAGGGCUGUAGAGUUAUGCUUGAUCCCUGCCUUCAUGACAUUUUUAUUCAUCAUAUUCAUUGCUUUAGAUUCCCAGAUCCAUAGAGUGGGUCAUAGUUCUUAAACCGGAAGACCUGUUUUUCUGGCCCACAAGAAACAACUGUGUGUUCUGAUAUUUUACCUUACAAAUACAUGUCUAUGAUACUUCCCUAGAUAUAUGACUAUAGUAGCAACUUUUAUUAGGUUAGAAACUGAUGCAUCUUGGUAUGAAUGACAACUGAUGUAAAGAGUAGCUCCGAGUUCUCUUGUCUGUAUGAAAACCACAGGCUUUACUCAGAAAUCAAAUUGUACAGGAAAAAUCAAACCUGUGGCCUGUCCAGCUGUCACUUAAGGGCUCUGUUAAUCUUCCAGCUUUUUUUCAGGAUUGCAUCCAUUAGAUGUGCAAUGACUUUACCCAUUUACUGGUUUUGAUGUCUCUAAAUUACUCUAUUGUUAUCCAAGAAAUACUUGCUCAAAAAACUAGUCGGCUUGCUGGUAUAACAGCUUAGCCCUGGGCUUAUUGAAGAAAGAUUUGCCUUUGUUCUACACUUGCUUAGAGGGUAUCCGGAACUUUUAUGGUGAUAUUUUUUCUGUUGAAAAAUAUUGAGUGUCUAAGCUUCACUUCACAUGCUUGCUGGCUCUCUGUUAUUUCCUGAUAUGGUUUUCUCAGGUACUGUGCUAUGAUAAGCUUUGUGCUGUGAUAUAAUUGGGUGAAGCAUGAGAAUACAGCAAGUAAAGGCAUUAUUUGCAUUCUUUUCUCUUGUUAUGCUAUCACAGGGAAAAGCUGACCACAAAACUAACGCUUUUUUCACUGCUAGUGAUAGAGAAGUUCAUGAAACAAGACCUGUGGGAAGUGAUACUGUUUUGUCAGAAUCAAUGUGUUGGGUAUUUUUUAAUAAAAAACAGUAACUUUCAGAUAUGCCUGUAGAGGAAAACAGUUUUGAAAGACCCCUGGAACAGGAAAAGAGACUGCUUAGCUGACAAAAAUGAGACAGUUUGACUGUAUUUCAGUGGGAUUUAUUGAAAAGCAGAAAGCCGUGGAGGGUUUUAGAAAGGAAGAUAACUGACUGGACAACUGAGUAAGGUGAACAAGGUGCAUGGGAGAAUUAGGUGUACAGAAGACCCCUUUGGAAAAAGUAAAUAUUUUGGUCAGAUAAUUUAAUGACAAAAAAUGAAAGAUCAGUAUUCCCCUGACAUAGGAAAAAGUAAAAGGAUAUAGAGAGAGUUUGUACACAAGCAAAAAAUACUUGGAACACAGUGCAGGAUAUGUAUAUUUAAAAAAUGCUCAAGUGUGUGUUUCCAAAAACUGAUGAUAGAAAAAAGCAUGGAAUGCCUGAAACUUCAGGAGUAAAAUAACAUUGUAUAGAAGUAAAGAAGGAGAGGCAAACAACUGAUCCCCAUAAGAUAGUGUGAACAAGAUAUGUACAAAAGUUCUGCAGCAAUCUGUACUAGUAGCCUACCACUGCAUGCUUUUUAUACAAAUGUAAUUAGCUGUAAAUAAUUGAAACACGUUAUGUUGUUGGCUUGUUUGGCAUUUUUUGGUUGUUUUGUAAUAGAUUGAUCACUCCCCUGAAGGCUAAGAAUGAGGCUUGUCACUGAAGUCUUUUAAAAUGUCUGCUUUAUGUGCCAACCUAUUGUUGUGUUUCAGAGAGCUUCUCGCAAUGUUUGUUCUAAUGUCGUUGAAGAAACCAUUAGCUGUUUAUAAUAGUGUGGGUUUUAAACAACUGCAAAAAUUUUGUUAUGAAAAAUAUAGAAAAGAAGCUUAACAGAUUUAUUCUUUUUUCUCCUGUGCUGCUUGCCAAUAUGAUCAGAUGGGAUGAUAACUCCGGUUGAAGAAAAGGCCAGUGUUAUGCCUAAUUCGCUACACAUUUUCAACGCCAUAAGUGGGACUCCAACAAGCACAACAGUUCAUGGGAUGCCCAAUUCUUCUUCAGUUGCAUGAUUGUUUUGUAAAGGAAAGUCUGUUCUUUUUUUAAAGUAUGUGGAUUUGCUUCAUUGUGUGCAAACUCAGGAUGAUUUUGAAGCUAAAUGUUGGGCACGUGCAAGCUACGUAAUUCAUACGAAUGUCUGAGCACACUUAGCAAACAGCAAUUACAGGUAAUAGUCUUUUAGAGUAAGGGAGACACCACAUAUAUUUUUAAUCUUUCUGGCAACAUUUAGAAGUAUUCACAACGUCAUUGCAGAAGUACGUGUUGGAAACUAUAAAGUUGAAGUUAAUUUCUCCUUUUCAUUAGAAAGUAUUAUUAAAAUGAAUUGCACAAAAGUGUUGUGGGAUGUAACUUUGCAGAUAUGUAACAUUCAGGUGUUCUUUUUGUGUAGGCACAUAGAGAUUGAUUCCAAGUACAAGAACUAUUUUGGGGCCAGACAGAGACACUAGUUUUUUGGGUUUAAUGGAACUGACAAUAGUAGUUUUUGUACCAUUUGGCGAAUUGUUGUGCUUUAUUUUAUACCUUAUUGCAUUUUGGAGGUAUGUGAGCUUAGGUCUUAUUAAACAACUAAAUGCAACCAAAGGUCUGUAUUAAUGAACACUGAGUUAUACUAAAAUAUCAGUAGUAGUAAAUUGUUAUGUACAUAUUGUUUGUUAAUACAGUCCAUACAGUCUGUACAUAAAUGUAUUACAUUUCUAAGCAUUUUUAAUAUUCAUACCAGCUCUUCUCCUUCUGCUUUCAUUGUGAAAAUUUGUUCAUUCCAAGUAUAUGCAGACUUUACAGAUCAUUUAUUCCUGUAUAUAAAUAAGUGCAAUAUAAAGAUGUAUACAGUCUUUGCUAUGUUAGGUUUAUAUGCAGUUACUAAAAGAAAAAAUCUUUUUUGCCAAAGCAAUGGAGUAUGUAAUUGGUGAUCAUGGUUACUGUGGUAAAUGGUGGUAUAAUUUAAAGCUUUUUCCAUAUUCUUAUUCUUUUAAGACAUUAAUUUAGUAAUUUUAUAUUUGGGGAAAACAAAGGUUUUUAAUUUUAUUUAACUGGAAGCACUGUCCUGCUGUAAUUAAACAUUCUGUACUACAUCUAUAUUAAAAGGAAAAAAGUAGUUACUUUUC